rnacentral:tRNA from 1 species
GCCCAGGUGGCGAAAUUGGUAGACGCAGCAGGUUUAGGUCCUGACGCCGAAAGGUGUGGGGGUUCGAGUCCCUUCCUGGGCACCA